CACGUAGGCGGAUAUUUAAGUCAGGGGUGAAAUCCCAGAGCUCAACUCUGGAACUGCCUUUGAUACUGGGUGUCUUGAGUAUGGAAGAGGUGAGUGGAAUUCCGAGUGUAGAGGUGAAAUUCGUAGAUAUUCGGAGGAACACCAGUGGCGAAGGCGGCUCACUGGUCCAUUACUGACGCUGAGGUGCGAAAGCGUGGGGAGCAAACA
rnacentral:rRNA from 1 species